rnacentral:rRNA from 1 species
AGAUUGAACGCUGGCGGCAUGCCUUACACAUGCAAGUCGAACGGCAGCACAGUGGUAGCAAUACCAUGGGUGGCGAGUGGCGGACGGGUGAGGAAUACAUCGGAAUCUACCUUUUCGUGGGGGAUAACGUAGGGAAACUUACGCUAAUACCGCAUACGCCCUUCGGGGGAAAGCCGGGGAUCGCAAGACCUGGCGCGGAUAGAUGAGCCGAUGUCGGAUUAGCUAGUUGGUGAGGUAAUGGCUCACCAAGGCGACGAUCCGUAGCUGGUCUGAGAGGAUGAUCAGCCACACUGGAACUGAGACACGGUCCAGACUCCGUACGGGAGGCAGCAGUGGGGAAUAUUGGACAAUGGGCGCAAGCCUGAUCCAGCCAUACCGCGUGGUGAAGAAGGCCUUCGGUU